AUCCAGCCGACGAGUUCCAAAUAGGAUGAAACGUGCGUCCUGGAU
rnacentral:hammerhead_ribozyme from 1 species